rnacentral:rRNA from 1 species
GGCUCAGAUUGAACGCUGGCGGCAUGCCUUACACAUGCAAGUCGAACGGCAGCACGGGAGCAAUCCUGGUGGCGAGUGGCGAACGGGUGUGUAAUAUAUCGGAACGUGCCCAGUCGUGGGGGAUAACGCAGCGAAAGCUGUGCUAAUACCGCAUACGAUCUCUGGAUGAAAGCGGGGGACUCGCAAGAGCCUCGCGCGAUUGGAGCGGCCGAUAUCAGAUUAGCUAGUUGGUGGGGUAAAGGCCCACCAAGGCGACGAUCUGUAGCUGGUCUGAGAGGACGACCAGCCACACUGGAACUGAGACACGGUCCAGACUCCUACGGGAGGCAGCAGUGGGGAAUUUUGGACAAUGGGCGCAAGCCUGAUCCAGCAAUGCCGCGUGCAGGAUGAAGGCCUUCGGGUUGUAAACUGCUUUUGUACGGAACGAAAAGGUCUGCCUUAAUACGGUGGGCCCAUGACGGUACCGUAAGAAUAAGCACCGGCUAACUACGUGCCAGCAGCCGCGGUAAUACGUAGGGUGCGAGCGUUAAUCGGAAUUACUGGGCGUAAAGCGUGCGCAGGCGGUUAUAUAAGACAGACGUGAAAUCCCCGGGCUCAACCUGGGACCUGCAUUUGUGACUGUAUAGCUAGAGUACGGU